rnacentral:rRNA from 1 species
UACGAAGGGGGGCUAGCGUUGCUCGGAAUCACUGGGCGUAAAGCGCACGUAGGCGGCUUUUUAAGUCAGGGGUGAAAUCCUGGAGCUCAACUCCAGAACUGCCUUUGAUACUGAGAAGCUUGAGUCCGGGAGAGGUGAGUGGAAUUCCUAGUGUAGAGGUGAAAUUCGUAGAUAUUAGGAAGAACACCAGUGGCGAAGGCGGCUCACUGGCCCGGUACUGACGCUCAUGUGCGAAAGCGUGGGGAGCAAACAGG